rnacentral:tRNA from 1 species
GUCUUAUAGUCAAAAAUGAUAUAAAAUUGCAAAUUUUAAGGGGUAAUAUUAUACUAAGGCUUA